AUCUUUGCGCUUGGGGCAAUGACGCAGCUAGUGAGGUUCUAACCGAGGCGCGUCUAUUGCUGGUUGAAAACUAUUUCCAAACCCCCUCUUAGGCCCAGGCUUGCCCUUGGCCUUCGAGAAUUUCUGGAAGGGCUCCCUUUGGGGUAAAGUC
rnacentral:snRNA from 1 species